rnacentral:tRNA from 1 species
UGUUCUUUUAGUUUAAAUUUUAAAAUUUUGAUUUGUGAAUUCAAAGAUCUUUUAGAGGAAGAACUA